rnacentral:lncRNA from 1 species
UAAGCUCCAUAUCACCAGCUAAAUCUUGCAUCCUCAUCAACAUCUUCCACUCAUCUUUCGGUAAGAGCUUCAAUCUGCUUUCCUAGCCUUUCCUUUAUUUUGAGGUAUGCCCCAUGGACCUUUGUAGCAGUUGUGUUUUUUCUAGAUGGCUCAUGACUAGUUUAACUUGGCCCGUUUGUAGUAUGGUUUGUUUUACACUAUACAGUUGAGACUUCUACUGAGAUAUUUCAGUGCUAUGCAGUAUGUUUGACUUUAAUUUCCAGUUCUACAGUAUUUUCAUAUGUUUGUGAUGUUAACCAGUCGUUAGUUUAGUGGUUUGCUUGAUAGGGGUAGUUAGUGUGGUGCCUGGUGCCGGUCAUGAAUCCCUAAAUGCGGGUUGUGACAUUUGGUUGGAUAAAGAGGGUAGUGGCACAAGAUAUUAAUAAGAAGGUGGGAAAUAAAGCAAGGGUCUCUCAUUUGAUGGCGUUCUGAGUAGUAAAGUUUGUUAAGGAUGUUAGCAAUGCUGGUAGCAGAAAUGGUUUUAGUAAACAUGAUAUAUUUGUAGAGCACCCUUACCAUCCACAUAUAUACACUCACCUUCCUUUGUAGAUGUGAAGCUUCACUUGGUGAGUGCGCACAACCUUCCACCAAGUAGGUGAAAAGUUCAACCCCCAUAAGUAGCACUCUUUUACCCCCCCCCCCUCCCCCAACCCCCUCAAAAAUGUGAUCUAAAGAAAGAAAAGGGUAGUUGUACAGGAAAAUGAUCUAUGUCAUCAAAAGAUGCAUGCUCCUUCUUUGCAGUUGGUGUAAAAUAGUUUUCUUGAUUAGAAUAUCUUCAAUAAUUUACAACAACCAAUGAUUAGAAAUUGAUUCCCUCAAAGAUAACAUCUCACAUGUACAUAUUCAAACCAUAUUAAAGGACCUUUCCUUUUUCUCUCUAUUUCUUUUGGGGAUGGGGUAUAACAAUGGUCCAACCAAUCAUAAACCUUCACGAUAAAUAAGGAAACUAUAAUUUACAAAGCUCUAGCACUGUUGAACAAGUUACCUCUUAUCCCAAGGAAAAGAGGAAGUCACAUUUGUCUAAUUUGUCAUUUUUUCUGAACUAUCUUCCGUCAUGAAAUUUACAAGGCAAAAGAUGAAUUAGCAUAUUGCAUAAUUUGCCUUCUCCUACAAGUACUAUGCAGCAUUUGCCAGCACAGCUCAUCUCUAAACAUGCAAUCCAAGAACUGUGUCACAAUUUAACUAUGUGGAGAAUAAGAAUACACAUACAAGAUGAACUGGAUUAGUGAUCUUCCACUCAGCUACUCCUGCACGAAUAUAUGUGUUUCGACUGACAUAAAUACCUGCAGAAAAAAUUAAAUUAAGACUUCUUACUACCUUCAAAUAUUUCAACUUAGACUUGUAGAUACAAAUAACCCAAUUUUUUUACAGGCAACGGCAAAAACAUCCAGAUAGAGAAAAAAUUAGUUUUCCUGCUCAGAUGGCAUAAGUAAAUCCAAGACAAAUACCUUGGUAUGUGGUCCAUAGAGAAAUUUCUUUUGGAAAAUACUAUCAUACAUCCCUACCAAAUACACUAUACCCAGCUUUAAGACACUUCGUGAAAAACUUUAUAUUGCCAGCUUUCAAAAUAUUGAAUGCUCAAUAGUAAAAUUCUAAUGAUACUACUAGGAGCAACCAAAAUUUCCACAAUGGUGAAAAUCACAACUUUUAACUCUUGUUUUUGCUUGUUCAACAACUAUCAACUCUUGCCAUUAUUCUCUAAUAGAAAAGCUAUGUCAAAGUGAAUAUCAACAAAUACUGUUUUUUCCAGAUGCACCAAUUAGGGCAUAAAACUUGAGAACUUAGAGGUUCUUCCUGAAUACAGAAAAGACUCAUAUUAAUCCAGCGACCAAUGACCAAAUAAACAGAAUUGAUUUGAGGAUAAUCAAAAUCUGGCAUUGUAAUAACGAAAAUCCAAGAAUUUUACAAUACAUGGUCGCCUAUCUAUUCAAAAAGUAACAAAUGGAAGUUAGAAGUAUUGGCACACUACUGUCUUGAGAAAAGUGUCCAUUUCAUUUGUCACCAAACUCAAGAAUUAAAAUCCAUAACAUUGCAAUGUUGAACGAGAGGAAGUAGCCAACAAUCCCUAUACAUGCCCUCAUGCUUCUGCCUUCUCUCCCUCCCAACAUAGAACUUUACAAUUAAUAAGGAACUUUUUUUUUUGGUAAAUAAUAAGGACCUUCUUGUCAUAGAAACAGGUGUAACUAUAGUAUAUUUCGAAGUAAUUGUGCAACAAUAUUUUACCAUCUUCAUCAAAAACUAUAUCUUACCAUCCGUACGAAUCCUUGGUCUUAAAAGCCACAUUUUUCUCCAUGAACCAUCAUACUUCAACUGAAGGACCUUAUAGUUUUCUACCAAUCCAGAAACCUUCAAAAAUGAGGCACAAUGGUUAAUGUUACUUACUAAGCUCACUAGUCGCAAUAAACAACCAGAACCAGUGUCCCUAGUACCUGCCAAGCCUUUAGGCACGCAUUGCGCCAAAAUACAGGGUUCCGAAUUGUAUACCUCCACUUUCGACAAACACAAGCCGCCCUACCCAAGGUGUAUGGGGUUGUUUUUGACAAGAUCUGCACAACAUUAAUCAUGAAAUCAUAGUAAGUUUCCGGUUUCCUCACCUUAGCUAUAAAGAUUAGAAGGGAAGGCUGCAAAAGCUAAAUUUCAAUCUAGAAACAGCAUAAUUUUUCUCAAGAAGACAUCACGGUUUUAUAUUUGAUUGCCUUCAGUUCUGUAGAUAUGCAACCUCAAUUCACCCCUUGGAAGGAAACAACAAGAACUUUGGAGAAAGAGGGGGUGGGACUGGGUUAAAGACUAAUCCAAUAAAUUAUCAGUGAAAACCAGCUAACCAUCCAGAGAAAGAAUCAAAGGGAACAGUCACAUUUAUGCUUGGCUGUAAAGCUCGACUUGAUUACUAUAAUGAGAUCAUAGAGUCCAACAUUCCUCGUCUCCGAAGAAGACAGAGAUGACAUCCAACUUUGCUACCAAGGAUGCUCCUCAGAAGAAUUGACGGGGAAAAAGGCUCAAGGCAGAUGUUAAAAUAGCAACAGUUGUCUCCACGUAGAAUCCACUAACUUUUUGCAUGGGCAUGAAAUAAAAGUUGUUCAUAGGGGGGUAGCUAGAUAUCGUCUCACCAUAAAUGUACAUGUAACCCAAAACAGCCACAAAUACCUUACUUUCUGGUUAAUUUUUUCUUUUGAUUUAUAGAAAAACAUUGUUCAUACUUCGGAUACCUAUUAAUUAGUUUAGCAAAAUCAGCUCUGUUGUAAGUCUUAUCAAUAUGCUUCAGCUUCCUAGUGUAACAAAGCAUUUCCAACACUUGCCACAUAUUUACAUGUCGAUAAGAAAAUUACAGAGGAAAUUAAUUGAAAUCCAUAUAGGCAUACCUCAAAAAGCAGUUCAUCAGGUAGCACUCUGUGUAUCAAUGCAGGAUCAACAAACUGCUUGCUACUAGCACUUCCAAAAGGAGCGACAGGUCUAACAUUAAUCCCAUACAAAUCUGAAAGAAAAUAGGCAGGUGAGUUGACAUUAGUCUGUUCUACACAAAUUCAUCAUCAAAACCAAAUGUCGAUAAAAAGAAUCCAAGAAAUGAUGAAUCUUUUAUACAGCUAGCAAAUUGCUAGGAGCAAGGUAAUUGAAGUAAGCAAUGACAAAGUGCUAGGAAAAUACCAAGCCAUGGCCUUUGAGGAAAAAUGAACUGAGAAGCUCUCAACCGUGCAGCAGUUUCGAGUUCCACAGCAAGUUCCACUGUGUAAUCUGCAAGAUAUGAGCCAUUAUCAAUGACAAAUAACGAAAAUUACAGAACAAGAAGAACAUGACAACACCAUAAAGGGACAAUUUCUAGUUCUGUAACUAACUCAAGGAACAAAUUUCCGAAAGUUGACCAAUGCCCAGAUGACGAGAGUACUCAGAUUUACUCAUAAAACAAGUAAACUGAGACAAAAAAACACAGAAAUUGACAAAAAGUCUAUAAAUAUACAUAUUCAUAAUUUGGAAAUAAAUACUUCCAUUACUCAAUGAAUUAAAAAGAUACUAAGAUCAAGUAAACAAACCAACAGUAAAAUGAAAAGUAUAGCAAGCUUGGGUAGUCACAUAAAAUCAAUCUUGAAUCAGUAAUUUCAGCUUCUCAAAUUAGCAAUGACUAGAGAACAUUUAUUCAUCAAACUGCAGACUAGCAAAAAUAUACACGAGUCUGCUCUUUUAUUUACAAAAGAUUUGGAUAUGAGCAGAAUCCAAUUCUCUUUUUUUUUUCCUUCUUUCUUUAAAAAAUAGUAUCCGGGGCCCUUCGCACCUCAACUAAUCCACUGGGUACCUACUAAUCACCUAGUGUUAUUGGGGAUCUGGACCCUGUCUACCAUGCUCUAUGUCAGUUCCAUUGAACACAAAACAAUACACUAUAUGAUGCAACACAAGCUGAAAAGAACAUAAAAAUAAGCAACAAACACGAGAAAAAACAUAUUUUAAAACAAAGAUUCAUUUUUUUUUUUACUUCUCCCAGAAAUUAAUGAAAUCCCAGUAAAAUCCAACCAAAAAUUUGAACUUUCUUACAAUACAACUCCUUCUCAAAUCAUAUACAACCCUUUCCAUAACCCAAAACCCAAGAAAGAUUCCAACCAAAGAAUUUGAAUUUACAAAUACCCAGAUGGUAAAUACCAAUUCUAGAACAGAAUAGAGGAAAAAAAUUAUGAAAUGAAGAAAAAGUUAAC